rnacentral:rRNA from 1 species
AUCGCUAGUAAUCGCGGAUCAGCACGCCGCGGUGAAUACGUUCCCGGGCCUUGUACACACCGCCCGUCACACCAUGGAAGUCUGCAAUGCCCGAAGCCGGUGGCCUAACCACUUAUGUGGAAGGAGCCGUCUAAGGCAGGGCAGAUGACUGGGGUGAAGUCGUAACAAGGUAGC